UUCCGGUUGAUCCCGCCGGACCUGACUGCUAUCGGAUUGAUACUAAGCCAUGCGAGUUUUUGUAGUAAUACAAGGCAGACGGCUCAGUAACACGUAGUCAAUCUAACCUAUGGACGAGGAUAACCUCGGGAAACUGAGAAUAAUACUCGAUAGAUCAUUAUGCCUGGAACGGUUUAUGGUUCAAAUGAAUUUCGCCAUAGGAUGGGACUGCGGUCUAUCAGCUUGUUGGUGAGGUAAUGGCCCACCAAGGCUAUAACAGAUACGGGCUCUGAGAGGAGAAGCCCGGAGAUGGGUACUGAGACACGGACCCAGGCCCUAUGGGGCGCAGCAGGCGAGAAAACUUUGCAAUGUGCGAAAGCACGACAAGGUUAAUCCGAGUGGUUUCUGCUAAAGGAACCUUUUGUUAGUCAUAGAACCACUAAUGAAUAAGGGGUGGGCAAGUUCUGGUGUCAGCCGCCGCGGUAAAACCAGCACCUCAAGUGGUCAGGAUGAUUAUUGGGCCUAAAGCAUCCGUAGCCGGCUUUGUCAGUUUUCGGUUAAAUCCAUACGCUCAACGUAUGGGCUGCCGGGAAUACUACAAGGCUAGGGAGUGGGAGAGGUAGACGGUACUCGGUAGGAAGGGGUAAAAUCCUUUGAUCUAUUGAUGACCACCUGUGGCGAAGGCGGUCUACCAGAACACGUCCGACGGUGAGGGAUGAAAGCUGGGGGAGCAAACCGGAUUAGAUACCCGGGUAGUCCCAGCUGUAAACUAUGCAAACUCGGUGAUGCAUUGGCUUGAUGCCAAUGCAGUGCCGCAGGAAGCCGUUAAGUUUGCCGCCUGGGAAGUACGUACGCAAGUAUGAAACUUAAGGGAAUUGGGCGGGGGAGCACCAACAGGGGUGAGGCCUGCGGUUCAAUUGGAUUCAACGCCGGAA
rnacentral:rRNA from 1 species